GGCGGCGCUGGCGCGACCUCGCCCGCUCCUGGCAGUGCGGGGGGUCAGGGGUUCGAGUCCCCUCGGCUCCA
rnacentral:tRNA from 1 species